UUUCCCCCAUUACAGAGAAUCAUUUCUAUAGUAAAUCGUCCCACCUGAUUUUUUCGCACUAGCGACUGAAUCCCCAACCUUGCUGAUGACCGCCAUGUCCUCGGCGCCCUAGAGUGAAGCCAUUUAUACUCCCGCCUCGAUCGGCUCGGGUUACAUGUUUCUGGAGGCUUCGGCCACCGAUUCGUGUGUCUGUUUUGAUCCAGGGAGUGGUGAUGAUCUUGACCUUACCUCGGUGUCUUGACUUUGGUCGGCCUGGUUUGGUGGGCGCUGCGGAGGUCUGAAAGGU
rfam:Emmonsia sp. CAC-2015a strain CBS 136260 supercont2.436, whole genome shotgun sequence.